GCCCGCUUAGGUUAGCCUGGAUAGACUACCGGGCUUCGGACCCGGCGAGUGGGGUUCAAAUCCCCAAGCGGGCG
rnacentral:tRNA from 1 species